GAUGAACGCUGACAGAAUGCUUAACACAUGCAAGUCGAUGGGGAAGUGGUGCUUGCCCCGUGGCAACCUUGGCGGACGGGUGAGUAACGCGUAAGGGACUUACCUGCAGGACUGGGAUAACAGGGGGAAACUCCUGACAAGACCGGAUAAUGUCAUGGAGCUGCAUGGCUUUGUGAUGAAAGGAGACGCCUGCGGAGAGCCUUGCGUCCUAUUAGCUAGUUGGUGAGGUAAUGGCUCACCAAGGCGAAGAUAGGUAGCCGGCCUGAGAGGGUGGACGGCCACAAGGGGGCUGAGAUACGGCCGUUACUACUACGGGAGGCAGCAGUGGGGAAUAUUGGACAAUGGGGGCAACCAUGAUGCAGCAGUUCUGUGUGCACGAAGAAGGUUUUCGGAGUGUAAAGUGCUUUCAGCAGGGAAGAAGUAAGUGACGGUACCUGGAGAAGAAGCGACGGCUAAAUACGUG
rnacentral:rRNA from 1 species